rnacentral:rRNA from 1 species
UUGUCCGGAAUUAUUGGGCGUAAAGGGCUCGUAGGCGGUUCUUCACGUCGGGAGUGAAAACUCGGAGCUUAACUCCGAGCCUGCUUCCGAUACGGGCAGACUAGAGGUAGGCAGGGGAGAGCGGAACUCCUGGUGUAGCGGUGGAAUGCGCAGAUAUCAGGAAGAACACCGGUGGCGAAGGCGGCUCUCUGGGCCUUACCUGACGCUGAGGAGCGAAAGCGUGGGGAGCGAACAGG